CCUACGGGUGGCAGCAGUGAGGAAUAUUGGUCAAUGGACGCAAGUCUGAACCAGCCAUGCCGCGUGCAGGAAGACGGCUCUAUGAGUUGUAAACUGCUUUUGUACGAGGGUAAACGCAGAUACGCGUAUCUGUCUGAAAGUAUCGUACGAAUAAGGAUCGGCUAACUCCGUGCCAGCAGCCGCGGUAAUACGGAGGAUUCAAGCGUUAUCCGGAUUUAUUGGGUUUAAAGGGUGCGUAGGCGGUCGGAUAAGUUAGAGGUGAAAUCCCGAGGCUCAACUUCGGAAUUGCCUCUGAUACUGUUCGGCUAGAGAGUAGUUGCGGUAGGCGGAAUGUAUGGUGUAGCGGUGAAAUGCUUAGAGAUCAUACAGAACACCGAUUGCGAAGGCAGCUUACCAGGCUACUUCUGACGUUGAGGCACGAAAGCGUGGGGAGCGAACAGGAUUAGAUACCCCGGUAGUC
rnacentral:rRNA from 1 species